GCUAUAUGCACAGUUACUUCCUGGUUACGGACAAGCCAGCCCAAUCACUUCCGGUCGUCUGUCGUCAGGUGAGCUUUCUGUCAGAGCCGGCAAAACCAAAACAAUGACUUUCUACACUCGUUGCCUUCAAGACUUACCCCGUGUCACUAUCAACGAUGUACACCGUCUUAUUAAGGCUUACUCAACCACGGCAUCAAGCAAAAAAGAAAAAGGAUUUAAGCUGUACAUAACCAGCUAUAUUCAUGACUAUGAAGAUUGUUCUCAAAGACUCUAAGCCUGUUGAACUGCUGGCAUGCCAGUGCUCAUGUGUGGCAGGGCUUGCGCUAUGCAAUCAUAUUGCAGCAUUGCUGUACCAAACCUCACAUUACAGCCAACAGGGAGCAAUAGCUGUCCCCCCUACUCACAGCUGUACAGGGUCUGAGCAACAAUGGCACAAACCCAGGACCCAGGGUUUCAAGCCUGGUCCAACAAAUGAGAUGGUAGUGUUGUCAGCUCAGCCCAAGGAGAGAAGAGUGGCUGAAGGAAUCAGGUAACAUUAGUUAAACUGAAUAUUUCUGCUACAUUCUGUGUCUGCUGUGUCUGU